AUGAACGCUGGCGGCGUGCCUAAUACAUGCAAGUCGAGCGAACAGACGAGGAGCUUGCUCCUCUGACGUUAGCGGCGGACGGGUGAGUAACACGUGGAUAACCUACCUAUAAGACUGGGAUAACUUCGGGAAACCGGAGCUAAUACCGGAUAAUAUAUUGAACCGCAUGGUUCAAUAGUGAAAGACGGUUUUGCUGUCACUUAUAGAUGGAUCCGCGCCGCAUUAGCUAGUUGGUAAGGUAACGGCUUACCGAGGCAACGAUGCGUAGCCGACCUGAGAGGGUGAUCGGCCACACUGGAACUGAGACACGGUCCAGACUCCUAAGGGAGGCAGCAGUAGGGAAUCUUCCGCAAUGGGCGAAAGCCUGACGGAGCAACGCCGCGUGAGUGAUGAAGGUCUUCGGAUCGUAAAACUCUGUUAUUAGGGAAGAACAAAUGUGUAAGUAACUAUGCACGUCUUGACGGUACCUAAUCAGAAAGCCACGGCUAACUACGUG
rnacentral:rRNA from 1 species